CCUCGCAGCGCCUGCUGCGCGCCGGGCUCAGGGCCCUGGGCCUGGGCCUCACGGAAGGUAAAUGGCGGCGCUACACUGCAAGGCGGUGUCCAGAGUCUGGGGUCUGCGAAGCAAGGACGGAGGCGGCGCGGGAGCGCUGGGCACCGCAGCCGAGGAGACUUUUCCGUGCAACGGGAAGAAAGAGAAAGGACCGGAGGCCCCUCUGUGGUUUGGGUUUUGCUGUUGUUUUCCAGUCGCUUCGAUGAGGCAGCCCCACGUGCCGUCUCCGUCCCUCUGGUUGUCCAGGACUCAUGUGUUCAAAUGAAUAGAAGGAGUGUGACGAAGCUGUGGCGUCGAACUGGUCCGCGGAAAAAGGGAAUUGAACAAGAAACUAACAGCCGGACUCUCUGCCUCGGGGCAGGUGCCUGAGAGAGCCUGACAUGCAUGGGGGAGCCUCUGAGCAAUUGCUCGCUCUCCCAUGUCCGUCCUGGGUGCCCUCCCACCGCUGUCCCCUGCGGAGCCCUCCCCCGGAUGGGUGUUUCCUACAGCUCUAAGCUUCGGUCAACAGCCUGAUUCUGGACGCGAGCCAGAAAUGGGAGCAAGCGUUCAUUCGGCUUCUGGAAAUAGUCCCUCCGUCGUCCUUGAGCGCACUGUUACCCCAUUCUCAGUCCCUGCGCAGUGGUCCUCGUUCCCCAACACUCCCCUGAGAAGACAGACUCCCAGCUUUCCGGAAGCAAGCUACCAUAUUGGAGUGACCCAUCUGACAUGGACAUGGAACUCUGGUCUGUAGCUCACUCUGGCCAAUGGAAAACAAGGAUUUGAGGGUCUCAGUCCAUUAUGCCUUGAGGAAAUGAACCCUUCCAACAACGACAAGAGUGAUCACAGAAGUGGAUCCUUGAUCCUUCCCCAUUCAAAACUGCAGAUGAGACCCAAGACCCAGCCGACAUCUUGACAGCCUUGUAAGAGACCCUAAAGCUGAGAACCCAGUGUAUGAAACCAGAACUAUAACGAACAGCAUCCCUGUCCUCCUCAUCUCUUCUCAUAAGAAUCCCUGUUCACACAUUAUUGAUAGGAUGAGAGGGCAGUACCAGUGAUCAGAAAGGAAGACAAUGAGGGAGGAACUUGCCUACAGGCCAGAGGUGGCUGGCGGGCAGGGAGGGGAGGUUGAUCCACCAGAGACAGAGUGCAGAAAAGAACAGGCCGAUUGACUGAAAUACACUGCAGAGGGGAACAGCAGAGUCAGGAGAGCUUUGCUGUACCAGCCUGAGUCUGACAAAUCAGUCUUGGCCACAGCCAUCUAAUCAUUUCCCUCCCACUUGGGAGGGCUUAUCAGUAAUGACAGAUUCUUUCUGAGCUGCCCUUUGAGGCCACAGCUUUACCAGAUUCUACCAGAAGAAAGCUACAUGUCAAGCACAGCCCUUCUUUCAUUCCCCACCUUGAUCGAAGGAGGAAAAGAGGAAUCUGUUCAGAAAAAUCUUUCCCACAUAAGUUUGCAUGUCUGGUGUGUUCUCUUAUUUUUUUUUUUAGACCACAUUGGUCCUGACUGUUCCUACGUUAGUGGGACUUAGAAAAUGAAAACUUUCUUUAAAGUUUGAACAAGAUAAAUGCCACCAAAAGAGGAACAAGUGAGAAAGGUCUUAUAAAAAUGGUACAUCAAAUAUAUUCUUUAAAAAUCAUGUGUGUGGGGUAAGGAUAAAUGUCAGGCUUUUCUGCCCUCCCGCCCUCAGGAUAGAUGAUGGAGCCUUGCGGUCCUGAUGUCAUGCCUGAUGGAGGGCACCUGAAAUAGGGUGUGGGCAUAGGUAGAUGGGAUUCACCUGGGGUGAGAGUGGGCUUCUAAGGGUGGCUACACGGGGACACCAGCAGAAGCCAAGAAGCCGAGAACAAACAGAAGCCCAAGAGAAGCAGAGAAGGCCGGAGAGCCCAGACAGAGUGAAGACUUUCUAGGGGCUGGGAGGGGCCUGCCAGCCUCCCCGCCACCCAGCACCCCUGCCUGUUGUGUACCGGUAAUUCCAAUAAAUGACCUGCAAAAAACCAUUAAGAACUCUGACUCCUCCUUUACCCGAUCUGGUGGAUCCUAGAAAAGCUGCUCAGUGCCCUGUCCUGCCUUUAUAAUUGGCGUAAGUAGGCAAGAUGAUCCAUGCAGACGGGUAUGGAGCCCUCCGAAGACCUGGAGGGACUAAGUAAUAACACUGUUUCCCGGUGACGACGCUGGAGGCGUCAUGGUGGCACAGGAGAUGGACGAGGCCCAGGAGCUGCAGGAUGAGACCUUGUGUGGAGGAGCGGCCCGAGAAGACCAGCCACGAACCCCGAGGCAGCCAGAAUCAUUGGCAAAGAGAGGACCAUGACUCGGAGCUCGCCAGUGCUGAUUCAGGGAGAGGCCAAUGAACUUGGCCCAAUGGACUUGGAUGUUGGACUCGGACUGAUGAACUUGGACUGACAAUCCCGCCAGAAGGCGGAGGCCCUUGGCAGGUUAUGUUUUCUUUUUAAGAAUCUGGGGGUGGCCAGUGGGCCUGAUGGCCAAAAGCAGCCUGUGUAUGCCCAGCAGCCAGGCAGAGGAGAAAAGCCAACUGAGAAGGCAAAAGCUGGUGCCGAUGCUCAGUUAGGGAAGCAUUGAGCGGCUGUUAAGCAGCCUAAGUAUGCUGAGGACCUGUGAGUCUCGUAAAAUCACCUGUGGGUGAUGCCCUGCUUGUUGUCGAGAGAGGGUGAGGAGCUGAGGAACCCGUCCUUGGGGGACAGGUGGGGAACGUGGCUUGGGGUGGAGCCCAAGCCGAAUGUAGAGUUUGGAUCCCCGGCCCAUGUGCUUGUGCAGUGGGUUGGCCUGAGUGCAGGGGUCUGCGAGUCGCAUUGGUGGCUAUGAAAGCUGAAUGUUGGAGCGACAGCAGACAGAAACCCUGAGGGUUGGCGAUUACCCCCAACAGAAUAGAAUCGUCAUUCAGAGAGCGAGUGCAUCCUGGGGGUGGAUGCGGUGUGUGGCUUGUAGCCGAGACUACAGCCAGAGAAGGCCAGGAAGCCUGACGGCGCCUGGCGUGUUACAGUAGAUGCCGUGAGUGGUUCCCCUCCCUCGUAUGAGCAGUGCCUUCGGCAGCAGAUGUGGUGGCUCAACUGCUGGUACCAAUAAUUGUCUUUUGCACUAGGUUGGGGCCCUGCCUGGACUUAUUUGUGUUCUGUUGUAUUUUGUUGUUAUAUUGUGAUGUAUUUGCUUUUGUGGGCCAUGGCUGCAUUGUUUAUGUUUGCUAAGAAAAUUGUAUAUAUGAAGACUGGAUGGCAGAAAACCCUGAGGGGGUGGACUGUAGGGUAAGGAAAAAAGUGUCAGGUUUUUCUGCCCUCCUGCCAUCGGGAUAGAUGAUGGAUCCUUGAGGUCCUGAAUGCAUGCCUGAUGGCAGGCACCUGGAGUAGGGGGUGGGCAUAGGUAGAUGGGAUUCACCUGGGCCGAGACUGGGAUUUUUAAGGGCGGCGUCACGGGGACGCCAGCAGAAGCCUAGAAUCCGAGAACAAACAGAAACCGAGACAGAAGCAGAGAAGGCCGGAGAGCCCAGACAGAAUGAAGACUUGCUAGGGGCUGAGAGGCCUGCCAGCCUCUCAGUUGGUCAGUCUGAAUAAAGAGUAAUUGUUUACCAACCAUGUCCCUUUUCAACACAUUUGUCAAAUAUGUUCUUUAUAUUAUUGUUCUGAAUGUUACCUAUCCUUUGAGAUUUCUGCAGUUUAUACCAACAGCUCGCAUCACCUCCCUACCCAGGUCCCUGAGGUGUGCAGUGCCACCUCUAAAGCUGUUGUCUCAGGUUCUGUCUCAGGCGAGAAACUUGGGACCUUUUGUACAUAUAAGGCAUGCUGACAUUGCAACAGGGUUUCAGAAAGUACUGGAAAAAACUAGUGCCCCCCCCCAUUAAAAAUAUUUAAUGAUACACACUGUAAAAAAGAAAAAAUUCAACAUGUUUUCAGCAUGUAAAUCCUAAUUAUCUGGUGUCUCCAAAAAAGAAGUCAUUCAUUUCCUGGGGUUAUGUGGUUUGAAUUGGUUUGCCAUCUCUGCUGGUUAAUUACCACUCCUCAUGGGUUUCCAUCUUCCAAAAUGUAAUGACAUCAUUGUUGUAGCUUCUCUCUUCUUGUCAGCAAGGGCUUAAACUUUUUAAAUGAUUGUUAAUGGUUUUAUUGAAAUAGAGUGCACAUCCCAUAUGUUUCAUCCAUAAAGUAUAUAAUUCCAUAACUUUUAGUAUAUUCACAGACACAUAUAACCAUCACCAUGGUCAAUUUUAAAUCAUUUUCGUGAAAACGGAAAGAAACCCAGUAAACGAGUUGUCACCCUUCUUUUUUCUCAUCUCCCCACUGCAUGCAACCGCUAAUCUACUCUGUCUUUCUGGGUUUCCAUAUUCUGGAUAUGUCACCAGUAGAAUGAUGUGUGUGGUCAUUUGUCACUGGAUUCUCUACUUACCAUGUUUUGAAUAUUCAUUCAUAUCACAGCAAUAUUAGCAGUUUUUAUUGCCAAGCAUGUUACAUUGAUUCUAUGGAAUCAGUAUAUUUCAUUUAUCCAUUCUUCAAUAGAUGAAUGUUUGUAUUGUUUCCCACUUUUUACUAUUGUGAGUAGUAGUGCUAGGAGAGUUCAUUUACAAGUUUCUGUGUGGAAAGAUAUUUUCCUACUCCUUGAGUAUAUACCUACAAGUAGAAUUUCUGGGUUAUAGCCUAAGUCUAUGUUUGACAUUUUGAGGAACUUCCAAACUGCUUUCCAGAACAACUACACCAUUUUCCCUUCCCGCCAGCAGUAUGAGGGUUCCAAUUUCUCUACCUUCUCGCCAGUAUAUGUUAUUAUCUGAUUUUUUUAGUCUAGCCAUCCUUGUAUGACACGCUAUCUCAUAGUGGUUUUGAUUUUAAUUUCUCUGCUGAAUGAUGAUUUUUUUGUACCUUUUUAUUUAAUCUUUUACUCUGAUGGCAUUUUGGAAAGGAGAGUAACAAGUUCUUGAUCUGCGUGUGUUUUCUCUGUAAGAUUACUUUCCACAUGGUGUGGAGGGAAGAAAUCACUUAAAUGAGUUCUCAGUUGACUCAAAGAGCAGAAGGGUGUGCCAACCCUUCUAAGGCUCAGUGCUUUUUCACCAACAAUGCUGUUUGUGGAUACGUUCAUUGCAAAAUAUCAAAGAAGUGGGGGAGCUUCUAUGUUGGCAAAGAACUUAUGUGUAAGAGUUGAGUUUUAAGAUAUUUAAACUGAUGUUCAUACUUUCAGCAUAGUAUAAAAGAUGUGAUGUGUCACACUUACUGGUUCAUAAUCCUGGAAGUUGUGCAAAGGAUACUUGGGGAGUUAUUGUGUUCCGUGUAUCUUGUGUUAUGUUUAAACAUUACUGUGAUGGAAACUGAAAAUUAAAAAAUAAAAGAGAUCAAGUGCCUCAUAAGGAGAGGGAAGCACAAAAAAAUAACCUGUCAAGGGUGGCCUCUGUCCAUCAAGAUUAGAGUGUAGCUGUGUCUCAACAAGGAAAUUGCAGAAAC